rnacentral:snRNA from 1 species
GUGCUCACUUCAGCAGCACAUAUACUAAAAUUGGAACAAUACAGAAAAGAUUAGCGUGGCAAGGAUGACACGCAAAUUCAUAAAGAGUUUCAUAUUUUU